CAGCAGCCGCGGUAAUACGAGGGGGGCGAGCGUUGUUCGGAAUUAUUGGGCGUAAAGCGCGCGUAGGCGGUUUUUUAAGUCUGAUGUGAAAGCCCACGGCUCAACCGUGGAGGGUCAUUGGAAACUGGAAAACUUGAGUGCAGAAGAGGAAAGUGGAAUUCCAUGUGUAGCGGUGAAAUGCGCAGAGAUAUGGAGGAACACCAGUGGCGAAGGCGACUUUCUGGUCUGUAACUGACGCUGAUGUGCGAAAGCGUGGGGAUCAAACAGGAUUAGAGACCCCAGUAGUCCCUGUCUCUUAUCU
rnacentral:rRNA from 1 species